GAUGACGGCCUUCGGGUUGUAAACCUCUUUCAGUAGGGAGAAGCGAAAGUGACGGUACCUGCAGAAGAAGCACCGGCUAACUACGUGCCAGCAGCCGCGGUAAUACGUAGGGUGCGAGCGUUAUCCGGAAUUAUUGGGCGUAAAGAGCUCGUAGGCGGUUUGUCGCGUCUGUCGUGAAAGUCCGGGGCUUAACCCCGGAUCUGCGGUGGGUACGGGCAGACUAGAGUGCAGUAGGGGAGACUGGAAUUCCUGGUGUAGCGGUGGAAUGCGCAGAUAUCAGGAGGAACACCGAUGGCGAAGGCAGGUCUCUGGGCUGUAACUGACGCUGAGGAGCGAAAGCAUGGGGAGCGAACAGGAUUAGAUACCCUGGUAGUCCAUGCCGUAAACGUUGGGCACUAGGUGUGGGGACCAUUCCACGGUUUCCGUGCCGCAGCUAACGCAUUAAGUGCCCCGCCUGGGGAGUACGGCCGCAAGGCUAAAACUCAAAGGAAUUGACGGGGGCCCGCACAAGCGGCGGAGCAUGCGGAUUAAUUCGAUGCAACGCGAAGAACCUUACCAAGGCUUGACAUGUUCUCGAUCGCCGUAGAGAUACGGUUUCCCCUUUGGGGCGGGUUCACAGGUGGUGCAUGGUUGUCGUCAGCUCGUGUCGUGAGAUGUUGGGUUAAGUCCCGCAACGAGCGCAACCCUCGUUCCAUGUUGCCAGCACGUAAUGGUGGGGACUCAUGGGAGACUGCCGGGGUCAACUCGGAGGAAGGUGAGGACGACGUCAAAUCAUCAUGCCCCUUAUGUCUUGGGCUUCACGCAUGCUACAAUGGCCGGUACAAUGGGUUGCGAUACUGUGAGGUGGAGCUAAUCCCAAAAAGCCGGUCUCAGUUCGGAUUGGGGUCUGCAACUCGACCCCAUGAAGUCGGAGUCGCUAGUAAUCGCAGAUCAGCAACGCUGCGGUGAAUACGUUCCCGGGCCUUGUACACACCGCCCGUCAAGUCACGAAAGUUGGUAACACCCGAAGCCGGUGGCCUAACCC
rnacentral:rRNA from 1 species